rnacentral:lncRNA from 1 species
ACCUUGUGGCUCUGCACAGCUCCUGCCAGGAGGGGACAGCCGGGGGGAUUUGGGAUCUCAUCCCAGGGAACAGGGACAGGAGGAGAGGGAACGGCCUCAGGCUGGGCCAGGGGAGGUCAGGGUGGGUUUUGGGGGAAAUCCAAUGUUUUUCAGAUGAAAUGGGAGCAAAAAGCUUAACGGACCAACAGCUGCUGGUGAUUGCCAAGCUGCUGGACCGGAGCUGGAGGGAAAUGGCCAUCGAGUGUCUGCAGAUGGAGAUGAAGGACAUCGAUGACGUCCGGGCCAUGGAGGAGGACGUGACCAUGCAGAAGCUGCUGGUGCUGAGGAAGUGGAGAGAGAGGGAGCAGGGCCACGGCACUGCAGAGGCUUUGCAGAGGAGCCUGGGGGAAAAAGCCACCUACGAGAUCCUGCAGGCGCUGCAAGGUUUCUUGGCUCAGAGCUGAGCCAGCUGCGAGGAGGAGGAGGAGGAGGAGGAGGAAGAGGAGGUGGGAGCUUCCCAACCCAACCCUUCGCUCCCCCGGGAUCCUGCUGGGACUCAGGAAUGUUCCUGGUGGGAAGUUCAGGCAGGACCCUCCAGAGACACGUGGAUGGAAUUUGGUGUGGAUAGGAGCCACUUCCAAGACUUUUCAGGAGAGGUGGAUCCUGGAAUUCCGGGUUCCACCCACGGGGAAAAGCCACUCCAGGAGGACACAAACACUGGAAGAAACCACUUGAUCUUUUUAAUCUCCUGGAAAUGAUUUUGAUUUCCAUCAGGGAAAACCAGGGAGAAGAAUUCCCCUGGAAACUUUCACCCCCUUCCAAAAAAACCACUGAACUGCCAGAAUCGUGAGGUGUGUCGGAUUUCUCAUGGAUCAGGGAAGAAGAAUCCUAAACUUGUACCAAAUUUCUUUGGCAUAAUCACUGUAUAGAUGGAAUUAUUGUACAGAUCCUCUACAUCCAAUCCUUGUUAAGCUGUGGUUCUGCUUCCUGAAAUUCCCAAAGAUGGGAGCACCACUGUGAGCUCCAGGCAGCUCGGAAUUUCCCAUGGAAUUCCUUCUCCCCUCUUUUCUGUAUAGUUUGUCUCAGUUUUUUACGUUGUAUAAUUUUUUUUUUUUUUUGUAUGAGAAACUUUUUAUACUUCUUUUUAUUUUUUUUUUACUUGAUUUAUUUUUUACUUGGAUAGAAUUUAGGUGCUUAAAAUGUGAGGAGCCGAAAUCCCUGUGCUGCAGGAUUGGAAAAAAAUCAGGAAAAAUGGAAUUUGCAGAAGAGAGGAGUGACCAGAUCCAGGAUUGUCUUGUUUUCAAGGCUCUGGGAUACCUGGGAUGAUCUUCCUCUGUGUGUCUGGGAAAGGAAAACGUACUUUUGGAAAAACAACGAUUAAACAGGAAAAAUUUCCAUGAUUUCCACCUGAAUUUUGAUUUUUGUUUUAGUUGGAUGAAGUGUUGGGGAGCUGUUGAUUUCCUGGGAAGAGGAUGGAAGUUGUGGAGGUGCCACCAAAAGCAUCCAAAUCCCAAAAUCUCCCAUCCCAUUCCAGCCCCUUCCCUAUCCCAGGUUUUUCCAAGAGGGAAAUUUGGAUUUUAAAACCCCCCAAUUACAGGGAGGUGCCUUCCCAUGCCAGCAGCAUCCAAAGGAUUUCAAAGGAUUCAUGUCAGGUCCCAAGGGACAAAAAAAUCACUGUGGUUUUGAAGGAAAUCUUGAUUUUAUUAAAUAAAUAAUAAAUAGAAUAAAUAGGGAAUAUUGUA